UUUCCAGACUCCUACGGGAGGCAGCAGUGGGGGAUAUUGCACAAUGGGGGAAACCCUGAUGCAGCGACGCCGCGUGAGGGAAGACGGCCUUCGGGUUGUAAACCUCUGUCGCAGGGGACGAAGGAAGUGACGGUACCCUGUGAGGAAGCCACGGCUAACUACGUGCCAGCAGCCGCGGUAAUACGUAGGUGGCGAGCGUUGUCCGGAAUUACUGGGCGUAAAGCGCUCGUAGGCGGUAUGUCAAGUCAAGGGUGAAAUCCCCGCGCUCAACGUGGGAACUGCCUUUGAAACUGGCAAACUGGAGUGUGUGAGAGGACAGUGGAAUUCCAGGUGUAGGAGUGAAAUCCGUAGAUAUCUGGAGGAACAUCAGUGGCGAAGGCGACUAUCUGGCACAUAACUGACGCUGAGGAGCGAAAGCGUGGGUAGCAAACAGGAUUAGAUACCCGGGUA
rnacentral:rRNA from 1 species